rnacentral:rRNA from 1 species
UACAGAGGGUGCGAGCGUUAAUCGGAAUUACUGGGCGUAAAGCGCGCGUAGGCGGCUUUGCAAGUCGGAUGUGAAAUCCCCAGGCUUAACCUGGGAACUGCAUUCGAGACUGCAUUGCUGGAGUAUGGGAGAGGGAAGUGGAAUUUCCGGUGUAGCGGUGAAAUGCGUAGAUAUCGGAAGGAACAUCAGUGGCGAAAGCGACUUCCUGGACCAAUACUGACGCUCAUGUGCGAAAGCGUGGGGAGCAAACAGG